rnacentral:rRNA from 1 species
UGCAAGUCGAGCGGAAACGAUCCCAGCUUGCUGGGAGGCGUCGAGCGGCGGACGGGUGAGUAAUGCAUAGGAAUCUGCCCGGUAGUGGGGGAUAACUUGAGGAAACUCAAGCUAAUACCGCAUACGCCCUACGGGGGAAAGCAGGGGCUCUUCGGACCUUGCGCUAUCGGAUGAGCUUAUGUCGGAUUAGCUAGUUGGUGAGGUAACGGCUUACCAAGGCGACGAUCCGUAGCUGGUCUGAGAGGAUGAUCAGCCACAUCGGGACUGAGACACGGCCCGAACUCCUACGGGAGGCAGCAGUGGGGAAUAUUGGACAAUGGGCGAAAGCCUGAUCCAGCCAUGCCGCGUGUGUGAAGAAGGCCCUCGGGUUGUAAAGCACUUUCAGUGAGGAAGAAGGCUUGUCGGUUAAUACCCGGCAGGAAGGACAUCACUCACAGAAGAAGCCCCGGCUAACUCCGUGCCAGCAGCCGCGGUAAUACGGAGGGGGCAAGCGUUAAUCGGAAUUACUGGGCGUAAAGCGUGCGUAGGCGGCUUGGUAAGCCGGUUGUGAAAGCCCCGGGCUCAACCUGGGAAUGGCAUCCGGAACUGUCAGGCUAGAGUGCAGGAGAGGAAGGUAGAAUUCCCGGUGUAGCGGUGAAAUGCGUAGAGAUCGGGAGGAAUACCAGUGGCGAAGGCGGCCUUCUGGACUGACACUGACGCUGAGGUACGAAAGCGUGGGUAGCAAACAGGAUUAGAUACCCUGGUAGUCCACGCCGUAAACGAUGUCGACUAGCCGUUGGGGUCCUUGAGACCUUUGUGGCGCAGUUAACGCACUAAGUCGACCGCCUGGGGAGUACGGCCGCAAGGUUAAAACUCAAAUGAAUUGACGGGGGCCCGCACAAGCGGUGGAGCAUGUGGUUUAAUUCGAUGCAACGCGAAGAACCUUACCUACCCUUGACAUCGUGCGAACUUGGUAGAGAUACCUUGGUGCCUUCGGGAGCGCACAGACAGGUGCUGCAUGGCUGUCGUCAGCUCGUG